UGGUGGAGUGAUUUGUCUGGUUAAUUCCGUUAACGAACGAGACCUUAACCUGCUAAAUAGUCAGGCUCAGCUUUGCUGGGUCGCCGACUUCUUAGAGGGACUAUUGGCGUUUAGCCAAUGGAAGUUUGAGGCAAUAACA
rnacentral:rRNA from 1 species